rnacentral:lncRNA from 1 species
GUCACCUGCUUGAAGGAGAUUGGCCAUUGUGACCACAUGCUGGUGCCAGGAUACUGACAAAUCCAUGUGCCCCCAUUUGGCUGUCCUUCCCAGGAAGAGAGAAACUGGCCAAUGUACCAACCCACCUGAAGGAGGGAGAGGCCAUGAUGAUAUUGCCUGUCUGAGGGAGAGACGCUGGCAACUGUGACCUCAUGAUAAUGAUGCCUACUUGAAGGAGAGAGAAGGGCCAGCUUUGCCAACAACUUUCACGAUAAAGGUGCCCACACCCUUUGCAACCCAUAAAAGUAGAAGUUGAGGCUUCUUAACUUCCUUUCUUACUCUGCCAUUCUCUCAAAGGCAAGAGUCAUCUUCCCUCCAGCUGUCAUCCAAGAGGUUGGGGGUGAAGGAAGGUGAGGACAGGUGACCCCACCUAGGCCCGAAGUCACACCCCCCCCCCAAAGCAGGCUCAAAGCUUCUCAAAAUCAUUUUCUCAGCAGCUAAGCAUUUGCUCAUUUGCUCUGCUGUUGCAAGGCAAAAAUGUUACUUUUAUCAGCACAAGAAGGCUUCAAAAAGCUAAUGAAUAGACUCUGUUAGAGCAGGCCUGAGAACUGAAUCUUAUCUCAUUCGGUUGCAACAUCUUGGACAUGCUGACCCACCAGGGCUCCUCGACCCCUUGGCUCUCACCCCCCUUUCCUGGGAAGGGCGCCAAGAGUCCAAAAGAGUCCCAAGACAGGGGAGCUUUCUGUUCAUGCUCAGAGGAACUCAUGGGCAGGACUCCUGAGGGAGGAGAAAGGGGAGGGAAUUGGAAGGGGUAUAUAUACUCUGUGCACAUGACUGUGAACCCGUGCAUGCUUUUUGUGAGUUAUCACACUUGCUCCUUCUACCAGUUCAUGGAUGGUAGAAAUAAAGCUUUUUCUCCGAAACUAUUCCUUGAGUGUCUGUUGACUCCCAUCUCCCUUUCCCGGGCGCAAUAUUUUUCCCACCCGAGGGCAAAGCCUCAUAAGGCUAUAUUUCGACUGCCCUUCUAUCUUUUGUUGGCUGCCUGUGAGAGCACCUUCGGUUCUGUAUCCGCCAGAGGCCUGGAACCGCUUCAGGGUUGUGUUGUGGAUUAUGGCCUCCCCAAGACAUUAAUCUACUGAGGUGGCCAUCCUAAAGCCACUGCAGGAAGCCCAAUGGCCCAUCUGCCUCAUGUGUCAGGAGUCCAGAUUCCCGGCUUGAUAACACAGUAAGCGUAGGUAAUUAAAAGGGAGGAUUUAUUGCAAAAACAAACAGAUAGCUCCGGAUAGCUCUAAUACAGCCGCUGGCAUUAUCACGCAAGAUGACCCUUCUGAAGACUCUUUCCGGUGUCUACAGAAUAUAUUGAACUGAUGCCCCUUACAUUUCUUGUUUUGCUUUCUGUCUAGCAGCCCUCCCAUUUGCUGACUCCUUGGCCUUAUUGGAUCAUCUCCAGCCUCUUCCUUUUCUUAGAGACACUCUCUGUGUCUGUUUGAGCUUCCUGAGAGCUUUGGCUGUGUUCCAGCCCACUCUCAGUUGUUCCCUUGGCAACCAGCAUUCCAAGGGGCAGGGAAGCCGCCUGUGACCACUGUUCAGCCUGUAUCAGAUCUAACCCUCUCUGUUCUGCAGCUGACUGUAAAGUUCCACUAGGAGCUGGCUUAUUCCUGACACCAUGUUGGCUUCUGGACAGGGACAUCCCUUGAGACCCCUUUAAUGUCAUGCGCACACCUCCUGCACUAUGCGUUGAUGUUGUGUGCCAUGUUACGGGGUGCGCACAAGUAACAUGGGCAUGCCACAUGGGCUGCAUGAUUAGGGUGAGCAUGUCGUGUGGUGUGCACACAUGGUUGCUGAAUUCUUGUGUGUGUGCCUACCCCCCUGCUUGAAAAUUUGGUGGGAAGCCUUGGUCACCACGACCCCCCCCCAUGGCACCUAUGGAAUGCACUCCCACAAUAAAUAAUGACAGUGCUUUUUUCUGGGGGGGACGCAGGGGUAUGCAUACCCCUAAAUAUUUUGUGACUCUAAUGGGAGAAGGAACUAUUAUUAUUAUUAUUUUAAAAAAUAGUUUCUUCUAUAGCACGGUGAAUCGUUAUUUCCGUUGCUACCCUGAUGGCAGCCUUAUUUCCUGUCACAAUGUUUCUUGAGCCUCAGACGGAAGCGAGCGUUUAAUGUGUGAAGUAGGAAUUGGAAUCUAGCACGCUGAUUGGUCCAUUUUGUUGUAUUUACUGUAUUUGUUUUCCCCAAUUUGAACUAUAAAAUGGUGAUUUUCAUGAGCCAUAAUGAGAGUACCCCUAAACUUUUUUUUUUUAGAAAGAAAGAAAAAGCACUGAAUAAUGAUGUCCACCAACUUGGGGGGCUGUAAAAGACAAAUUGAGACAAAUUUGUGGAUGCUAAGGCUGUCAGCAGCCACAACCCACAAUGGAUGAGUUCUAACUCCCCUUACGGAGGCAGUAUGUCUCUGGAUGCAAGUUUCUGGGAAUCACAAGAGGGCAGAGGGACCUGUUUUGCUCAGCUUCUGCUUGUGGGAGUCCCAUAGGCACCUGCUUGGCCACUGUGAGAACAGGAUUCUGGCCUACACUGGCCUGAUUCUGUGGGCUCCUCCUAAGGCAAAGUGAGAUGGAACGGAGCCAACUGCUCCUCUAAACAGCCCCUCAGGUGGGGGGGGCAGGCAGAGACUGUGCAACCCUGCUGUGGAGGAGGCAAUAAAACAGGUGAACUUCAGCAGACCAAUUCCCCAGAGACUGGCACUGCUCCUCCUACUCUGAUGUCCCUCUUUCCCCUUCCAUUAUCACUAUAAUUCAUUCUUGAUGCUUUGCAUCUCGCAUCCUUGAGAUGGUUUUAUUCAUGGUCUCAUUAGUGUUGAGUUUCUCUUCAAAGAGAACCGUAUUUAUCAUUUCAUUUCCCCCCCCCCGCGAUUAUUUCCUGCGUUAUGACUUUCACCACAGGGUUUGAUGCCCAUUUACCUCUGACAACUGACAACCGCUUGCUUUUGCUGGAGGCAUCUUAUUAUUCUAUUUGCUCUUUUCCUCCUCUGUGUUUGCUUCCGUGUGGAUUUCUAAUGAUCUGUUUUGCUGUAUUCUUCCUGGCAACAAUUCUUGGGGGAUUUUUUUUUUGUUCUCGUAGGUUUGAAUGGAACCGUGCGGGAAUCGGCACUGACAUCUCUGGAUUCUUGCCCCGAUCUUGCCUGAGUUUGUGUGUUUUAAAUAUUUUCGGUGACAUGCCUUGGCCCAUUCAGCGAAGUCGCUCUUAGCCUUUGAAACGUGUCAUUAACGGAUUAAUGGAUUUAACUUGCAGUCCUGUGUGCACGUACCUGGAAGCAAGUCCCAUUGAUGCUUACUUCUGAGUAGACCUGCACGGGAUGGCACUGUGAUGGAAACAUUAGCAUUUUCACAUCCAGUGCCAGUUCAUUGGUUAUUCAGUCAAUCAUAGUCUGCUCUUCUGUUCACAGAGCACAACAUAAAAUUGCAAAAAAAGUACACAUCAGCCGGGGGGGUGGGAAGAGCAGGAAUUUUAAAAGACAGAUUGUCAAUCAGCAAUAGCGUUAAGCAUCAAAUGCCUCUCAAAAUGUAUUAAAUGUUUUUGUUGAAAGUUUUCAACAUAGAAUACAAUAAAAGCCAAACUAAUCUAAAGAAAAGAAAAAUAAAGAAAAACAAUUUUUUAAAAAAUAGAGAGGCAGGAGAAAAUGAGAAAAGUGAAAAAUGAAUUUAAAAAGCCCUCUAUCAGAAUGAUGUCAAAUCACCUUUUCCAUAUGCAGAAAAGUAGACCUUCCCAGCUCUCACCUGGGUACCAGCCUCCUACCCUGGGAGAUGCUUUCUGCCCUGCCUCUCAGAUAGAUCCCUUCAUCUUCGAUCGCGCUGUGGGUUAAACCACAGAGCCUAGGACUUGCCGAUCAGAAGGUUGGCGGUUCGAAUCUCCACGAUGGGGUGAGCUCCCGUUGCUCGGUCCCUGCUCCUGCCAACCUAGCAGUUCGAAAGCACAUCAAAGUGCAAGUAGAUAAAUAGGUACCACUCCAGCGGGAAGGUAAACGGCGUUUCUGUGUGCUGCUUUGGUUCGCCAGAAGCGGCUUAGUCAUGCUGGCCACAUGACCCGGAAGCUGUACACCGGCUCCCUCGGCCAAUAAAGCGAGAUGAGCACCGCAACCCCAGAGUCGGCCACGACUGGACCUAAUAGUCAGGGGUCCCUUUACCUUUACCUUUAAGAGCUACAAAAUAAAAGCAGCAAGACUAAGUAAGAGAGACAGGAAAAGAAAAGAAAGAAACAGGGGCUUCUGAUUCUCUGUCAAUUGCAUAUGUAUAACAAUCUUUCAAAAUAUUCAUAGCAUGCACUACAGCAUAACAUAAAUCAGUUGCCUUAUCCUUAUAGUCACCAUUCACUUCUCACUAUGUUAUGUACUGAGUUGAAUCCUGCAACAAUUCUAGAAUUCUAGAACAAUAGGAUCCAGAAUGCAGCAGUCUGAUUGUUCUGCAGGAGCCACCCAAUCCAGCUCCAGGUGGAAGUGAAUCAGCAACCUGAUUGGCCUGAAUGAGCAGCCUGGAAUUAGCCAAUCACGCGGGGCCCAUUGUUUAAAUAAUGUAUAUACAGUGGUACCUCGGGUUACGGACCCUUCAUGUUACAAACGCUUCAGGUUACAGACUCCACAGGUUAAAGACUCCGCUAACCCAGAAAUAGUACCUUGGGUUAAGAACUUUGCUUCAGGGUGAGAACAGAAAUCGUGCUCCGGCGGCGCGGCAGCAGCAGGAGGCCCCAUUAGCUAAAGUGGUGCUUCAGGUUGAGAACAGUUUCAGGUUAAGAACGGACCUCCAGAACGAAUUAAGUACGUAACCAGAGGUACCACUGUAUAGCUAGACGUUUUGGGGAAAGAUUCAUUCAUUGCUACUAUGAGCUGAAUAAAGAGCAUGAAAUUCACACUCGACUCCGAGUAUAUUUCACACUAUUUCAGGGCAAAGAAACAAAGCCCUCCCCAGCGCCCCAACCCUCGCCCACCAUGGUUCUCACACAAAGAAGGGUUACCCUUGCUCUUGACCCAACCCAAAAGGGUACCCACAAAAACACCACUGUUCCUGGAUAUUUGUGUUCUCUCAGGUGGGCCUUGGCAUGGGAGCCAACUCGUAGGGGCCAUGGGGGCUUCAGCCCCCAGCAUAAAACAUUUGAGGGGGCCUGGCCCCCACAAAGUUGAUGGGCAUUCAAAUGGUGUGUGCUCACUGCGUCAUGUGAUGCAGGACAGGGCUUACCUAGGCCUCCACAAUAUUUUGUGUGAUGGCCUGGGAUUCAGACUCGGAUGCUGAACCUGAGGGAUCCCAGCCUGCACAGGAUUCCCUGCCUCCAGAACCAGCUGAGCCAGGGCUGGGGCCUGAGCCUGAAGGGUCUUCACCUGUGCUGGAUCCUCAGGUGCAGGCAUCAGCUGAGUCUGCUCUGGUUCCUGACGGGGUGGAGGACCCAUUGCCUGCAGGUUCUCCAUUCUCAGCCCUGGCAGAGGAAGCUGAGGUUGCCUCUGGGUCCGGUAACCCUCCAGCCUCUCCUGAGCUGCAGAGGCUCAGGGCAGAGAGGCGGAGGGAACUAAGUUCCCGCAGGAGGAGUGCUCAUCUCCAGGCCAGGAGAGGCGAGUCACCUGAGAAUCGGGGCCACCCUAUGCCUUGGGGCAGAUAAAAGCUGGCCAGCCCCAGUCCCAAGUUGUGGGAGCAACCUUGUCGGUUGCUAGUUCCUGCCUGAACCCUGUCCUGCUUUCCUGCCUGAGCUCCUGACCCGCCCUGGCUCCCUGCUUGCAAGCCUGUUCCUGACUUCACCCGACUCCCUGUCCUGCACCCAGCUUCAGCUACUGCCGACUGACUCCACGUUGCACCUUUGACCACGGACCGGACUUGGACCUUGCCUCUCGGGUAACCCACGGGACCAGCACAUUUUGUUCAAGUUGGCACCCCUGGGCCUUUGGUGUUCUUGGGGUUCCUGAUUCCCUCCCACUGGCUCUUGCCGGUCCUCCACGGCAACACACUGACCUGAGGCUUAUUGACGAAAAAUGCCACCCCCAGGCAACUGGUCCAUGACUCAUAAUAUAAAUUCUCUGCUCUUCUGUUCUCUUGGCUGUUGCAUCUCUGGAGUGGAAGUAUUUGCUAGCUGAGUAAUCUGGGGGCAGCAGGUCAGAGCGUCCCUUCCUCUUUGUUCUCUAGUGCAUCAGCCUUCAUAAAUAAAUCCAUGCACAUGUGUGCAUAAUGCAUCUACCGUAUGUGCUUUUGCUUAGGCGUCUGUUAAUGCAGGCAUUCCCUCAAUCACCCAACCAGCUCUCCUGUUUUAAUGGUUGUGUUGCUUUAACGGUAUUGUUUUAUUGCACAUUUUAGUGGUGGAUAUUUAUAUUUUAAUGUUUGUGUAACUGGUAUCUAUUAUGGCUCCGCACAGCUCCCCUGGUUGAAGGAUGGGGCUAAGGUUUAAUCAGUGUUUUUAAAAUCCUAUUUGAACAUGUGGUCAGGAGGGGGAGGGAGAAGGAGACACUGCCUCUCCACUCACCCUGACUGCAUUGCAAGAGCAGUCGGGUCAAUCCUGCUGGGUGCUGUUACCUGGUGAAGUAGACCCCUGCAGCCAGCAGGAUUGAAGCUUCCACUUACCAGCUUAUCAUGCUGGGGUCUGCUUCCACAUCCCCCUUUGAAUCAAGCCAAAUUUUGGUUCGGGAUCUGAGCGUGGGCUAAAUCCAGUUAACGACACUAGGUUUUAUAUUUGUAAACCCCUUAGAACCCUACACUGGUAUUAAGCAGCAUAUAAAUUAAUAAUUCUAGAAACACACAUUGGCUAGUUCUGAACAAAAAAAGGAUGGUCUUGCCUGUGGGCCUCCCAUUGUGUCAGGCUUCAAGGAAGCGGAUCCCUCCCCCUGUGGCAGUGAUUAAAUCAGGCAUAGGCAAACUCCAGCCCUCCAGAUGUUUGGGACUACAGUUCCCAUCAUCCCUAACCACUUGUCUUGUUAGCAAGGUAUGAUGGGAAUUGUAGUCCCAAACAGCUGGAGAGCCGGAGUUUGCCUAUGCCUGGAUUAAGAAGAUCAAACAAAAGGAGCGUUCUUACCAGAGUUUCUUUAAUAAUCACAGUGAGAGAAAGGAAUGCACAACCCUCAAAAAUUUAUGCUGCUCCCAGUUAAGGUUCGUCCCCCUUAAUCUACGUCACUCCUACAUUGGGUAAUCUGAGCUUGUUGCCUAUGUGCUUUUUGUUGUAUCAUUCUCAGAGCUCAUCCAGUCCUAGGCGAGGAGGAGUCAGGAAUGCUGUCCAGGGACACUGAAUCUGCCAGCUGUCUCUCUCCUGGUUUGCCCUCUUCUAGUUGUUCCUCACCCAGUAUUUCCCAGCUUCUUCCCUCUGGAUGAUGCCCCUCUGAAAACCACUGUUCUAAAUCAAUACUGUCCUCCUGCCCUUGGGAAGGUUCAGGAGAACGGGGGUGGCGGCUCCCACCAUUCCUCCUCAGUCCAGCCUCUGACACAUUGGCAGGUGGAUGGUGAGAACUGGUUGCCAGAUUAGAUGGGCUUAUGGUCAGAUCCAGAAUGAUUCUUCUGACAUUCUUCGCUAUCAUUAUUAUCUAUUAUUUCAUCUGUAUUGCCACCCUUUCCUAACAAGGAGCUCAUUCAUGGUUCCUCCAUCACAACCACCACAUGUCACGGCCAGGUUCACGGGCGAUCAAAGUCCUGGCAGGGGACGUCAGGACCGGGGGCAAGAUGGUGGGGUGGGAGCAGGAACAGGGGUCCAGAAGCCAGGAGUCAGGAAGCCAAGAGUCUGAGGGUCAGAGAGCCGGGAGUCAAGAAGCCAAGGGUCUGAGGGUCAGGAAGCAAGAAGUCAAGAAGUCGAGGUUCAAGGAUCAGGAAGCAAGAAGCCAAACACAGCAAGGCAGGAAGCGUGUUGCUGUGUCAAAGAGCCAAAGGGAAACGCUGACUUUAUAUCCCUUCCUGGCUCUUGCCACCAGGUGCUGUGAGUUACCAGUUGGCCUCACCUGUGCGGCCACGCCUUGCCUCUUCAGAACAAACUUAGGAAGGCCCCAGUCCUGCAAAGUCCUAUUGGUCACAGGGCCUGGCUCCUACACGCACACCUGACACCACAUGAGGGAAUUUACACUGAGAGAUGGUGACCAUGACUGAGUGGGAACUUCAGUUCAGGCGUCCCAGAUUCUAGUCUGGUGCCUUAACCACUUACACCACAAUAUCUCCUUCUUCUAGGAACGUUUUCCUCCUGAAGUAGCUCUGACCAGCGCCAUCCAGACUGGGCCACCAGUUAAUUAUCUAGUUCCAUAUGGGGCCCACCUGCCUUUGUAAGCAGCAUGCCUUCUGCUCCUGUUUCAGGUGGAUCUGGGUAGUUCCAGGUGCAUCCAUCCCCAGAUGAUCCAUAGCAUCAGGAAAUGAGCCUUCAAAUAACCAAGGUAAGGCCACGAUUGUUGAGAAAUUUGUUUUUCAAGCUGCCAAGACACAUUGUUUGCAACCAGCUCCAUCACUCUGGGCUGUUCUGUUUAGCACUUGCAGUCCUAUCACUCAACCUCCAUACCCUCCUGCAUUUCACUGAUGAAUAUCCCAUAUAAUCCUCCAAUUCUUAUACCAAGGAUUACUGUCCAAGCCCCUCACCAGCCCAUCUCUUGAUGCUGACAGAUGUUUUCUCUCCGCUCUCUGCUGCAGCAGUGUUUCAUAUACUGGCAAGAGGUGCUUGUUCUUUACAUUACAGUGGUACCUCGGGUUACAUACGCUUCAGGUUACACACUCUGCUAACCUAGAAAUAGUGCUUCAGGUUAAGAACUUUGCUUCAGGAUAAGAACAGAAAUCGGGCUCUGGCAGCGCGGCAGCAGCAGGAGGCCCCAUUAGCUAAAGUGGUGCUUCAGGUUAAGAACAGUUUCAGGUUAAGUACGGACCUCCGGAACGAAUUCAGUACUUAACCCGAGGUACCACUAUAAAUGCAUAUUAGAAAAAAUACAACUGUCCUCCAAGCUGUCAUCAGCAGUUCAGAAUGAGUCUCAGAAGCAUAUGAAGUGGCAGGUCGAGUAUAGGAUGGCAUAAUUCAUCUGUUGCUAACACUUUAUUGUAUGUUUUUUUUUCUCUAUCUCAAUGUAUUUUUUGGUAUUAAUUUUUUAAAUUAGUUCUACAAUUCAAAUUUACAUUCAAACAUAAAAUAAAAUCAUAAAUUGUAGAAUUCUCCGAAUUCACAGACUUGCAUCGUCCCCUAAUUCUCCCUUAAUAUAAGAGUUAUCAGGAAAACAAGGCACAAGGAAAUAAUUUUAAAGGCGACCUGGCAAAAGUAUGAGUGUGUGAGCUCACGUCAAGUGUUUCAAAAAUCCCUCUUUACCUUGAGCUCUUUCAUCAGGUUCAGUGUACUGAUGCCAUCCAUUUUGUGAAGCAAAUUUUCAUGUUGUGUGGACAAAUGCAUUAGUCUUGGCACUCCGAGGUUGGCUUUCCUACCAGCUACUGGCUAUGGAGAUUGGACCAUUAGACACCAUGGGUACCAUGAUACUAGAGGAGGAAAAGGAGAUUGCAAAGAAGCUGAAUGAAAUCCAUGUGGCUUCCUUCACUGUAGGUUGAGUUGAUAGCUGUGCCUGAACUGACUGUUAGAAUCAUAGAAUCAUAGAGUUGGAAGAGACCACAAGGGCCAUCGAGUCCAACCCCCUGCCAAGCAGGAAACACCAUCAGAGCACUCCUGACAUAUGGUUGUCAAGCCUCUGCUUAAAGACCUCCAAAGAAGGAGACUCCACCACACUCCUUGGCAGCAAAUUCCACUGUCGAACAGCUCUUACUGUCAGGAAGUUCUUCCUAAUGUUUAGGUGGAAUCUUCUUUCUUGUAGUUUGGAUCCAUUGCUCCAUGUCUGCUUCUCUGGAGCAGCAGAAAACAACCUUUCUCCCUCCUCUAUGUGACAUCCUUUGAUAUAUUUGAACAUGGCUAUCAUAUCACCCCUUAACCUCCUCUUCUCCAGGCUAAACAUGCCCAGCUCCCUUAGCCGUUCCUCAUAAGGCAUCAUUUCCAGGCCUUUGACCAUUUUGGUUGCCCUCCUCUGGACACGUUCCAGUUUGUCAGUGUCCUUCUUGAACUGUGGUGCCCAGAACUGGACACAGUACUCCAGGUGAGGUCUGACCAGAGCAGAAUACAGUGGCACUAUUACUUCCCUUGAUCUAGAUGCUAUACUCCUAUUAAUGCAGCCCAGAAUUGCAUUGGCUUUUUUAGCUGCCGCGUCACACUGUUGGCUCAUGUCAAGUUUGUGGUCAACCAGGACUCCUAGAUCCUUUUCACAUGUACUGCUCUCAAGCCAGGUGUCACCCAUCUUGUAUUUGUGCCUCUCAUUUUUUUUGCCCAAGUGCAAUACUUUACAUUUCUCCCUGUUAAAAUUCAUCUUGUUUGUUUUGGCCCAGUUCUCUAAUCUGUCAAGGUCGUUUUGAAGUGUGAUCCUGUCCUCUGGGGUGUUAGCCACCCCUCCCAGUUUGGUGUCAUCUGCAAAUUUGAUCAGGAUGCCCUUGAGUCCAUCAUCCAAGUCGUUGAUAAAGAUGUUGAAUACAGGAAGAUGUUGUUACAGGAAGGGAGUCUGAAAACUGAGCAUGCUCAGUAGUCACAGAAUGCUAGCUGGCUAUUGGAGGAGGUGAUGGUAAUGGAAAGCCAAGAAGGUAACAGGAUGGGAGAGAAUAUCCUGAAGGAUGAUAUGGUUCACUAGCUGGAAUCCUGAGCAGUAACACUCCAUACUGCAAUGUUUGUUGCAGAUCCCUCUUGUACACAUAUAUUUUAAAGAAAUGUAGAAAGAGAACAAAUGGGAAAGAAGCAAGCAGAAAUAGAUAUGAAUGUUUCAGUCCAUUACUGGUUUGUAUUUUGCAUGUGUUGAGUUUGUUCCAUCCCAUUUCAUAAUCUUUAUUUUUUUUUAAACUGGCAUGAAAAUUCAUAUCUAAAUUCACAUUUAAAUAUGUAUUUUGAAAUACUUUUGAGUGGGACACAUAUGUCUCAUUUAAAAAUACAUUUUACCUGGAAAUCCACAUUUGUGAGCACAUUUUGGUAUUUAAUUUUUUUUAAAAGCUGAAUACUCCAUCGCAAAAUUCAAAGAAAGGCAAAAUCUUCUAGCGCAGGCAUAGGCAAACUCGGUCCUCCAGAUGUUUUGGAACUACAACUCCCAUCAUCCCUAGUUAACAGGACCAGUGGUCAGGGAUGAUGGGAAUUGUAGUCCCAAAACAUCCGGAGGGCCGAGUUUGCCUGUGCCUGCUCUAGACAGCCCUGGAGCUGUGGAUCAGGUCAGUUCCUCUUGGAAUUCGCAAAGAACAAAUGCCUUGUUGUUGUUGUUUAGUUGUUUAGUAGUGCCCGACUCUUUGUGACCCCAUGGACCAGAGCACGCCAGGCACUCCUGUCUUCCACUGCCUCCCGCAGUUUGGUCAAACGCAUGCCAGUAGCUUCGAGAACACUGUCCAACCAUCUCGUCCUCUGUCGUCCCCUUCUCCUUGUGCCCUCCAUCUUUCCCAACAUCAGGGUCUUUUCCAGGGAGUCUUCUCUUCUCAUGAGGUGGCCAAAGUACUGGAGCCUCAGCUUCAGGAUCUGUCCUUCCAGUGAACACUCAGGGCUGAUUUCCUUAAGAAUUGAGAGGUUUGAACUUCUUGCAGUCCAUGGGACUCUCAAGAGUCUCCUCCAGCACCAUAACUCAAAAGCAUCAAUUCUUCAGCGACCAGCCUUCUUUAUGGUCCAGCUCUCACUUCCAUACAUCACAAAUGCCUUAAGCAGCUCUAAAUAGAAUGCACCCCUUCCAGUGUAAAUGACUAGUAACAGCGCUGUGCACUAGCCUUCCCAAAGCUUUGAGGAAGCCCCUUUGCCUGCAGAAACUCCCCUGGCUUUGCAUGAAGUGGCUCGACCAAAUGCUCUCCACAUUUCCGAGCAAACACAAGACAGUGCAUCUUGAGCUUCCUGCUAAGAUGGCCAGGUCUGUUAAAUCAACACAUUAAAAUUCCACCAGUGCCUGCCACUAUAGGAGGGACUCUUAAAAAAAAAAAGAACACGGCUUUUAUCUCAUCUCUCGCCUGGAUUGAUUUCCCCAUUACAGGCACCGACUCUUCCUGAAGGACUAUAAAGAACACGGGGAUUUUGUAGGGGCUGGCAGGUGUGACAAUGAGGGAAGCAAUUUUUGACACCCAAAGCAAUUAAUUGAUCUCCAAGUGUCGAUGUGUCCACGGAGCGUGUUGCCUGCCAGAGAGCUGAGGAUUGUGCGUGUGCUGAGCGGUGGGCUUGACAUGCUUUUGAUUCAAGGAACUGAAGGGAGAUGACAGAGGAAAUCUAAGGGCUUUGUGUUGACAAUAGCUGGUGGAGCUCAUUGGCAGUUUAGGUUGAUGCUUUGGUACAGGACAAUUCCCAUAUGGUCUGUGCUGUGUCAAGCCAUACAAGGUUGCAGCUCCUUGUGGGAGCCAGUGUGGUGUAGUGGUUAAGAGCGGUAGUCUCGUAAUCUGGUGAACCGGGUUCGCUUCCCCGCUCCUCCACAUGCAGCUGCUGGGUGACCUUGGGCCAGUCACACUUCUCUGAAGUCUCUCAGCCCCACUCACCUCACAGGGUGUUUGUUGUGGGGGAGGAAGGGAAAGGAGAAUGUUAGCCGCUUUGAGACUCCUUAGGGCAGUGAUAAAGCAGGAUAUCAAGUCCAAACUAUUCUUCUUCUUCUUCUUCUUCUUCUUCUUCUUCUUGUAGCAGCAUGCAGCACACCUGGAUAUGUGAGUGUCAAGAAGCUCCUCACACAUAAACCCACCCCUGAUAAGGAAACAUGCCUGCCUGUCAAUGCCCCUCAGCCUGAAUUGGAAUCUAGGUCAUAGAAUCAUAGACUUGCAGAGUUGGAAGGGACCAUGAUGGUCUUCUAACAGUCCAACCAUCUGCAAUGCAGGAAUCUUUUGCCCAAUGUGGAUCUUGAACCCACAACCCUGAGAUUAAGCAUCUCGUGCUCUACUGACUAAGCUAAACAGUUGUACCUCUGGUUAAGAACUUAAUUCGUUCCAGAGGUCCGUUCUUAACCUGAAACUGUUCUUAACCUGAAGCACCACUUUAGCUAAUGGGCCCUCCUCCUGCUGCCACGCCGCCGGAGCACAAUUUCUGUUCUCAUCCUGAAGCAAAGUUCUUAAGUUCUUAUUUCUGGGUUAGCGGAGUCUGUAACCUGAAGCAUAUGUAACCUGAAGCAAAUGUAACCUGAGCUAGAAGAAGAAGAAGAAGAGUUUGGAUUUGAUAUCCCGCCUUUCACUCCCUUUAAGGAGUCUCAAAGCGGCUAACAUUCUCCUUUCCCUUCCUCCCCCACAACAAACACUCUGUGAGGUGAGUGGGGCUGAGAGACUUCAGAGAAGUGUGACUGGCCCAAGGUCACCCAGCAGCUGCAUGUGGAGGAGCGGAGACGUGAACCCGGUUUCCCAGAUUACGAGGCUACCGCUCUUAACCACUACACCACACUGGCUCACAGUACCACAGUAAUAAUAAUAAUAAUAAUAAUAAUAAUAAUAAUAAUAAUAAUUUAUUAUUUAUACUCCACCCAUCUGGCUGGGUUUCCCCAGCCACUCUGGGCGGCUCCCAACAGAAUAUUAAAAACGCGAUAAAACAUCAAACAUUAAAAACUUCUAAAAGUCAGAUAGUUGAUUAUUUCCUUGACAUCUGAUGGAAGGGCAUUCCAUAGGGCAGGCGCCACUACCAAGAAGGCCCUCUGCCUGGUUCCCCAUAUUUUGGAGGGUGUCUUAGUAAAAACAAAAACAAAAAACACAACUUUGGAGUGUCCAUCAGAAUAGCCAUAGCCACCAGCUCAAUUAGCAUCUGUUAAAUAUGUUCGACUUGCAGUCUGUUUAUUCUUAAACACGUUGAUAGAGAAAUAGAAAUAUAUACUGUCUAUAAAUACAAAUUUAAAAAUAUUGUAAUAUUUAACACACUACCAAAUGCCAUCUUGUUAAAAACACAAUUCUAAGAUACAUUGCAGAACAUAGAUCUGGUGAGGGAGAAACCACAUGGGAUGUUUAUACAUAAAGGGGCUAUACUAAAUAAAAAUAUCUUUUCUUAGAUUUGAAAGAAGGUUCUGCUGGCAAGUUCCCACAUGCUGAGCCUUUGAAAGUCCACUCAGGAGGGUCAGGGCAGCAAGAGAAGCAGUGCAAAGAGAAGGGGC